rnacentral:tRNA from 1 species
GGCCCCAUAGCUCAAGUGGUUCAGAGCACCCGGCUCAUAACCGGGAACGACUCAGUUCGAAUCUGAGUGGGGCUACCA